rnacentral:rRNA from 1 species
UUACACAUGCAGUCGAACGCUGANAGCCCGCAACUUGCUGUGGGUGGAUGAGUGGCGAACGGGUGAGUAACACGUGAGUAACCUGCCCUUCACUCUGGGAUAAGCGCUGGAAACGGCGUCUAAUACCGGAUACGACCAGUCCUCGCAUGGGGUGCUGGUGGAAAGCUCCGGCGGUGAAGGAUGGACUCGCGGCCUAUCAGCUUGUUGGUGGGGUAAUGGCCUACCAAGGCGACGACGGGUAGCCGGCCUGAGAGGGCGACCGGCCACACUGGGACUGAGACACGGCCCAGACUCCUACGGGAGGCAGCAGUGGGGAAUAUUGCACAAUGGGCGCAAGCCUGAUGCAGCGACGCCGCGUGAGGGAUGACGGCCUUCGGGUUGUAAACCUCUUUCAGUUGGGACGAAGCCAGCUUGCUGGUGACGGUACCUUCAGAAGAAGCACCGGCUAACUACGUGCCAGCAGCCGCGGUAAUACGUAGGGUGCAAGCGUUGUCCGGAAUUAUUGGGCGUAAAGAGCUCGUAGGUGGUUUGUCGCGUCUGCUGUGAAAACCUCCCGCUCAACGGGGGGCCUGCAGUGGGUACGGGCAGACUAGAGUGCAGUAGAGGAGUCUGGAAUUCCUGGUGUAGCGGUGGAAUGCGCAGAUAUCAGGAGGAACACCGGUGGCGAAGGCGGGACUCUGGGCUGUUACUGACGCUGAGGAGCGAAAGCAUGGGGAGCGAACAGGAUUAGAUACCCUGGUAGUCCAUGCCGUAAACGUUGGGCACUAGGUGUGGGGUCCAUUCCACGGAUUCCGUGCCGUAGCUAACGCAUUAAGUGCCCCGCCUGGGGAGUACGGCCGCAAGGCUAAAACUCAAAGGAAUUGACGGGGGCCCGCACAAGCGGCGGAGCAUGCGGAUUAAUUCGAUGCAACGCGAAGAACCUUACCAAGGCUUGACAUACACCGGUAACGGCCAGAGAUGGUCGCCCCCUUGUGGUCGGUGUACAGGUGGUGCAUGGUUGUCGUCAGCUCCUGUCCUGAGAUGUUGGGUU